UUUUUUUUUUUUUUUUUUUUUUUUUUUUCUGCUUUAGGCAUUCGUUCAAUGGUUUUGACAAAGAUGAAGACCACUGCUGAGUCUUUUCUAGGUACUGAAAUUAA
rnacentral:ribozyme from 1 species